GAAGUGGUGCAAUAAUAUACACAGAAAAAAGUCUACGUAGUUCACGAUACGCGAUGCGUUAUUGUUGUUAUUCCGUUUUGGAGUUAUAAUAUUAAAGUAAAGAUCGAGGAUGGGAUUGCAGUGAUGUGUAUACGUGAUUAUCGAUUUGUCGAUCAUAUGAUAUUAUUGUAAAUCCGAUUGGGCUUAACUGAGGACAACCAGUCGGGGAAGGAAAUUAUUGAGGCAGCGUAUAAUAUCUUAAGGUAGCUGAUCGGCGUGAUGACUCAUCAAGAGUGAAAACUUUCAAAAGCUCAAGGCGAACCACCUUCAGAGGAUGCUCGGAGCGGGCCCGCAGCAGUAUACCGUGGUACACAUUCGGUUGUUUAAAACCACUGAUUGCAGCAGCAGCAGAGAGACAUACAAAUAUAGUUACUUACUAAACAUAAAUUCUUUGAAAUAAAUAAUAUCGAUUGAAAAUUGAAA